CCUACGGGAGGCAGCAGUGAGGAAUAUUGGUCAAUGGACGCAAGUCUGAACCAGCCAUGCCGCGUGCAGGAAGACGGCUCUAUGGGUUGUAAACUGCUUUUGUACGGGGGUAAACGCAGAUACGCGUAUCUGUCUGAAAGUAUCGUACGAAUAAGGAUCGGCUAAUUCCGUGCCAGCAGCCGCGGUAAUACGGAGGAUUCAAGCGUUAUCCGGAUUUAUUGGGUGUAAAGGGUGCGUAGGCGGGCUGAUAAGUAAGAUGUGAAAUCCCGGGGCUCAACUCCGGAAUUGCCUCUGAAACUGUGGGGCUAGAGAGGAGGUGCGGUAGGCGGAAUGUAUGGUGUAGCGGUGAAAUGCUUAGAGAU
rnacentral:rRNA from 1 species